AUUUUAUGUAACUUUGUAUUUCAGGAGGACCUGACAAAUCAUCCAGUAUGAUGGUACAUCCAAUUCAUAAAAGCAAAAUCAAACAAGAUUCACUGAUACUUCUGAUGGCAGUGAUGGCCCAUCUAGAGCAAGCUGCUGCAAAGAUGCCAGUGGAGGAGGCAUGGCCAGGGCUGUGCCCUCUACAGAGCCCAUGGAAACCAGGAACAGGUGAGAACCCAACCUCCUUCCAAGUUGACAGGGCAGGAGCCAUGCCCACCCUGGCACAGCAGCAGCUGCCCAGCCAGGUGUGGACUCAGGCAUCCCUCUACUCUUGGGAACCCAAGGAGUCCUUCUACCUCCACAAGCUCAGAAGGGUCUGUUCCCACUGCCUGGCCUCUCCCUGCUCUAGGUGCUCAUUCAGAUUUUGGAGCAAAGUUGAGGCCAAGCCUAGGCACCAUCGUGACCCAGCCAGGUGUGUGGGAGCUCAAGG
rnacentral:lncRNA from 1 species